rnacentral:rRNA from 1 species
CCUUACGUGGGGUUGCCAUGCACAGGACGCCGGUAGAGAUAUCGGUUCCCUUGUGGCCUGGGUGCAGGUGGGGCAUGGCUGUCGUCAGCUCGUGUCGUGAGAUGUUGGGGUAAGUCCCGGAACGAGCGCAGUCCUUGUCUGAUGUUGCCAGCGCGUUAUGGCGGGGAUUCGUGAGAGACUGCCGGGGUCAAAUCGGAGGAAGGUGGGGAUGACGUCAAGUCAUCAUGCCCCUUAUGCUCAGGGCUUCACUCAUGCUACAAUGGCCGGUACAAAGGGGUGCGAUGCCGUGAGGCUUAGCGAAUCCUUGAAAGCCGGUCUCAGUUCGGAUCGGGGUGUGCAACUCGUCCCGGUGAAGUCGGAGUCGGUAGUAAUCGCAGGUCAGCACCGCUGCGG